CUGCCCACUCUUUCUGCCUUGUGGUAGAGGGGUGGGCAGGUGGUAUGCAGCAGCUUUGACUAAGCUGGCUAGCUUUUCCCAAACCUGGGCAAGUUUUCCAAUCAUCGGAGAGGAGGGACCACUCUGAGUGCUUUGUGGAGCGGAGAGCAGAGGCAGGCGGAAGUGGGAACGGAGAGACCAGCCGGGAAGUUCUUGGCAGGCACACGUGAGCUGUGACGCAGCAGUGGAGGUGGAGAGUGGAACUUUCAAGGUUCUCUCUGGAGGUCAAGAAACCAAUAGCCAGACUCAGAGCCCCCAGGACGCCCAUAUCAAUGACAGCUCCUCUCUGCACCAUGAAUGUGUCCGCAAGGCCACCUUCUCUGGUGGUGAGAAUGGCAGCUGGAGGUUGGAGAACAUUCCUUGCGUAAUGAAAGCAACCCUAUGGAUCCAGCUGAGCUUCCAGGUCAAC